CGCCCGUCGUCUUUUAGACGGCACGUAUUAUGGUAUACCGUUGUACGUCCGUCUGUCCGUCCGUCGUCCACACUUCGGACAAUAACUCAAAAACACUUUCACCAAUUUCCAUGAAACUUCAGUGAAUUGUUUAUAUCUAUUGAUGUAAGCUCCCUUUCAAUUUUUAUAAAUUUCAGAUUUUAAGUUUUGGAUUUAUGGGGCUUUAUUCAUAAAAAAGGGGG
rnacentral:lncRNA from 1 species